rnacentral:lncRNA from 1 species
CAUCAUGAUCUCGAGUACAAUGUCUAUGUUCCAUAUGGUAAUGGAUGAGUGAAUCACUAUCCAAGGUUGACUUGAUAGUCAUUGGUCAGGGUUGCACCUAAGAAAGCAUCAACAAAGAAAGGUGAUAGGGAAGAACGAUUAGAGUAGAAAGGUUUUUAAAGGUACUUAGGAGAAAGUAUAGACUGAAAAAGAGGUCAAUCCAGAGAGGUAAUAUAGCGGUGCCAAGGACACAUAUGAUGCAACA